rnacentral:rRNA from 1 species
UACGUAGGGUGCAAGCGUUGUCCGGAAUUAUUGGGCGUAAAGAGCUCGUAGGCGGUUUGUUGCGUCGGCCGUGAAAACCUGUGGCUUAACUAUGGGCUUGCGGUCGAUACGGGCAUCACUGGAGUUCGGCAGGGGAGACUGGAAUUCCUGGUGUAGCGGUGAAAUGCGCAGAUAUCAGGAGGAACACCGGUGGCGAAGGCGGGUCUCUGGGCAUUACCUGACGCUGAGGAGCGAAAGUGUGGGGAGCGAACAGG